rnacentral:rRNA from 1 species
AUUGAACGCUGGCGGCAGGCCUAACACAUGCAAGUCGAGCGGUUACGCGGGGCAACCUGGCGACGAGCGGCGGACGGGUGAGUAACGCGUAGGAAUCUACCUGGUAGUGGGGGAUAGGCCCGGGGAAACUCGGAUUAAUACCGCAUACGCCUUAAGGGGGAAAGCAGGGGGAUCGCAAGACCUUGUGCUAUCAGAAGAGC